rnacentral:sRNA from 1 species
GAUUUGCGUUAGGGAUUGCAGCGGCAUCCUUUUGUUUUUAAUGAGGUGAAAUUACCUUUGAAAUAAACUCUUGCUUUGAUAGUGGAUUCCUGCUUUCGCAGGAAUGACAAAAAACAAAAGAUAUAGCGAAAAGCCCGACCUGGU